AACGAACGCUGGCGGCAUGCCUAACACAUGCAAGUCGAACGAGAACUUCGGGUCUAGUGGCGCACGGGUGCGUAACGCGUGGGAACCUGCCCUUAGGUUCGGAAUAACUCAGAGAAAUUUGAGCUAAUACCGGAUAAUGUCUUAGGACCAAAGAUUUAUCGCCUUUGGAUGGGCCCGCGUAGGAUUCGCUUGUUGGUGGGGUAAUGGCCUACCAAGGCGACGAUCCUUAGCUGGUCUGAGAGGAUGAUCAGCCACACUGGGACUGAGACACGGCCCAGACUCCGACGGGAGGCAGCAGUGGGGAAUAGUGGACAAGGGGCGAAGGCCUGAUCCAGCAAUGCCGCGUGAGUGAUGAAGGCCGUAGGGAUGUAAAGCUCUUUUACCAGGGAUGAUAAUGACAGUACCUGGAGAAUAAGCUCCGGCUAACUCCGUG
rnacentral:rRNA from 1 species